ACGACCUUACUUGAACAGGAUCUGUUCUAUAGGCUCGUACCUCUGUUUCCUUGAUUUCUAAGGAGACAGGCCCUUAACCCUGGCUGAUGAACCAUGACCGUACGGCUAGAGCGUGAUUGACGGCUACGAUCGUCUUCGGACGCAUCCGGUGCUGUAGAGGAUCGUUACUCGGCUCGGUUCUACCUUGCCGGGGUGGUCGCACGGCGGUCUGACAGGUU
rnacentral:snoRNA from 1 species